CCAAUAGCGUAUAUUAAAGUUGUUGCAGUUAAAAAGCUCGUAGUUGAAUUUCGGGAUUGACACAUCGGUCGUGCCUUAAGGGGUAUGAACUGGUGUAGUCAGUUUCUCACCUUCUGGAGAACCGCGAUGUCCUUAAUUGGGUGCCGCGGGGAACCAGGACCUUUACUUUGAAAAAAUUAGAGUGUUUAAAGCAGGCAUUUUGCUUGAAUACAUUAGCAUGGAAUAAUAAAAUAGGACGGAUGGUUCUAUUUUGUUGGUUUCUAGGAUCACCGUAAUGAUUAAUAGGGAUAGUUGGGGGCAUUAGUAUUCAAUUGUCAGAGGUGAAAUUCUUGGAUUUAUUGAAGACUAACUACUGCGAAAGCAUUUGCCAAGGAUGUUUUCAUUAAUCAAGAACGAAAGUUAGGGGAUCGAAGACGAUCAGAUACCGUCGUAGUCUUAACCAUAAACUAUGCCGACUAGGAAUCAGACGAUGUUAAUUUUUUAAUGACUCGUUUGGCACCUUACG
rnacentral:rRNA from 1 species